rnacentral:tRNA from 1 species
GGGCGACUAGCUCAAUGGUAGAGCAAUUCCCUCUUAAGGAAUCGGUUCGGGGUCCGAAUCCCCGGUCGCUCA